rnacentral:RNase_P_RNA from 1 species
GGAGCAGGUCGGAAGAGACUGUCGCCGCAGAGGCAAUCAUUGCGCUCCGCGGAGGAAAGUCCGGGCUCCAGAUGAGCAGGGUACCGGGUAAUUCCCGGGAACAGCGGUUUCCCGUAUUCCGUUGUGACAGAAAGUGCCUCAGAAACCAGACCGCCUUUGCUGUCGCUCGUCGGCUGCGAAGGUAAGGGUGAAAGGGUGGGGUAAGAGCCCACCUGUUGUCCGGUAACGGACAAUGAUGGUAAACCUUACCCGGAGCAAGACCAAACAGUGCUGGUCGGUUGCUCAGCCGACGCAGGCGUCGAUUCCGGCGUCUGCACCAGUGCGGGUAGGUUGCUGUAAACAGAGCGGUGGUAACGCCUGCCUCUGACAGAUAGAUGACAGUCACGCCGACAGAAAUCGCUGUCGGUCACACUGAACCCGGCUUACCACCUGCUCCGAAA